UGCAUCUGGGGCCUGCGAGGAUGAGAACCUCCGGGGGCAGGAGGUUCGACUCGAGCGAAGCGAGAGAACGUUGCGUCAGCAACGGCC
rnacentral:sRNA from 1 species